ACCGGUUUAGCUCAGCUGGUUAGUUUAAAUUAAAGCGUCAGUUUAACAUGCUGAAGGUCGCGAGUUCGAAAAAUUAAAAAAACUUGUAACUGGUA
rnacentral:tRNA from 1 species